GCAGAGCGACGUGAGGCGACAAGAUGGCGGACAAAGAGAAAAAGAAGAAAGAAAGCAUCUUGGACCUCUCCAAGUACAUCGAUAAGACCAUUCGGGUGAAGUUCCAGGGUGGCCGGGAAGCCAGCGGUAUCCUGAAGGGCUUUGACCCACUGCUCAACCUGGUGCUGGAUGGGACCAUGGAGUACAUGAGAGGUGAGCCGGCCGAGGUUGUUGUAGGACGGUGCUGGGGACCUGUGGGGUCAGAUUACAGCAGGUGGUGACUUAGGGUGCAGUGUUGGAACACCAGAGGACUGGUGUGCUUGCCGGGAGGGCCUCAGGCUUGAGACUUCCAGCUCACUCUCCUCAGGUAGCUGGCUUUAUCCUCAGCCCUCAGGACAGCAGGAAUGGUGGCCGCUGUCCUCGGCCAGGAAUGUCUACCUGCAUCAGAGACUCCAAGGCUCACUGGAUCUCAGCUCUGUAUAAGCAGGUCCACCCUGUAGUGCCCUGAGCAGACCCCUGCCCCCCACACCAGGUUUCCUGUCUCCAGCCCUCGUGACAGUUAUGUCUGACUGCUUACCAGCUCCUCCUGUUGCCCACCCUCUCCAGUGCAUCUGCUGCUCAGUAGAUGCCCUUGGUGUUUACGGGGUCAGCAUGGGCUCUAGCGUUCUUGAAGUUGGAGAUGUCUGGCUCCUCCCUCAGCCACCUUCGUGGUUCUGUGGUUUAGACUCUGCUGGUCAGGUGUUUUGAGAGCAUCUGGAUCUGUCAGUCCCCAGAAGCUGUGAGUGAGAACUCUCAGGCCCCUGAGGUCCCGGCUGUGGCAUGCCUAUGGAUAGAUAUGCACCUCAGUCCUCUUGCCUCUCAUCCUACCAGACCCUGAUGACCAGUACAAGCUGACGGAGGACACUCGGCAGCUGGGGCUUGUCGUAUGUCGUGGCACCUCGGUGGUGCUCAUCUGCCCACAGGACGGCAUGGAGGCCAUCCCCAACCCCUUCGUGCAGCAGCAGGACACUUAGCAGCAAAGGAGAGCGGUCCAGCCCCAGGGAUCUUCCUUCUAUGGGGUGAACUUCUGUGUGAUGUUUUGGUCUUUUGUUCUUGUUUUGUUUUGUUUUGUUUUUUAAUAAAAUUGCCCAUGUGAGCAUCUCCCUCCCUU
rnacentral:lncRNA from 1 species